GUACGAGGGGGGAGCAAGCGUUUGUUCGGAAUUAUUGGGCGUAAAGGGUGCGUAGGCGGUUUUGUAAGUCUUGUGUGAAAUCUUCAGGCUCAACUUGAAGACUGCACGAGAAACUGCAGGGCUUGAGUGUGGGAGAGGUGAGUGGAAUUCCUGGUGUAGCGGUGAAAUGCGUAGAUAUCUGGAGGAACACCGGUGGCGAAGGCGGCAUCCUGGACCGGCAUUGACGCUGAUGAGCGAAAGCCAGGGGAGCAAACGGG
rnacentral:rRNA from 1 species